rnacentral:lncRNA from 1 species
GAAAAUUUUAGUAAAUUAUAGUCAAUUUUUAUGCAAUGAAACUAUAUAGCUCUUUUUGUUAGAAAUUGUCUUACUAACUAAGCUGCUGGUGGUUCUGUGACGAAGUAGCUCCUGUUGGCUUCCCUUACACCGGGUCAGACACAGGACAUUAAUUAAGGCUGUGUGUGGUGUUUCUGAAAGGUGAGGAGACUGGGCAUUCUGUCUUUUACUCUACAGAUACAUCGUGGGAGACUCAAAGAUUAAAAUGUGGCCACUCACUGUGGAUCAGAAGCAGAAUCUCACAUCAUAACCCCAAAUGACCUGUUACUCACCAUGUGGCCCAGCUGUCUUCAAACUCACCAGCCUCCUGCCUUAGCCUUCUAAAUGCUUGGAUUACAGGCAUGACCCACCAUAACUGGCUUUGUUUUAGUUUCAGAGAAGAUGAAACUGAUGUGCGUCAAAAAGUAAACUACCCACAUUUUAACUGGGCACAUUCCUGUCAAUCUGAUGAGAAUCUAUUUCAUACCCUGCUUUAGCUGGUAGUCUGUCAAGGAAAUGAGCUGAACAUGUCUGUGUACAGCUUUUGUGCCAUCCCUGGAUGAGCGAGCUGUCUGCCUCUAUGUUCUCCACAAAAUGGAAUAUAGCUGUACACCCAAGCCAAGUUAUGGAGGCUGGGAAGACCUAGAAUGUGGCAUCACUAUUUGGUUAUUUAGAAAAUUGUUACCUCAAAAAUGACCUAGGGGUCCUUAGAAUAAUAACACACAGAAGAAUAGCCUCAUUUUUCUGUUGGGCCCAGGAAACCAUGCCGAUUACCGACCGAGCUCUCAAUGGAAAAAUGCAGUCGGCGUGAACCACGCACGAACACAGCAGAGAAAGAAGAAAACACACACCACGAGGAACCCUAAUAGGACAAUACAUUAUAAGCCUCAUGGUACAUCCACUUGGUGUGCUGGGAGAGUCAGGAUGAGGACCUGAGAAGAACAGCAGCUUGAACCUGACUUCAUUUAACAGCCCACUGCCCUCUUGCCAAGAACCCAUCACAGACCUUCCCAGAAGAGAGGGAUGAGCCUCACCUAUGAAUAAGUCCUCAGAAACUCAAAUUUGAUUCUAAUGGAUUGUUUUCUCAGAAAGACUGAGCAUGUCCCCCCACAUCUCUGUCAUUUCCCACAGUAGUAACCUCUGCAGAUGCCACAUAGAAAACAAAACAAAACAAAAAAACAUGAGGUUGGUGGGCAGAUAGGCAGGGUAUAAACAAACAGCCUUGUAACCCAGAAGCUGUGUGAUAUACAGUAAACUUCACAACACUGAAAAGAUGUCCUAUCUGUUAAAAUGGGGUAAUAACAACUACCCGAAUGUUUAGGAAUAGAACUUCAAUAAAUGAUACAUUUUAUAGUACAGCAGACCAUCCUGUAAAGGUUUCAUCCUUCACUGUGGUGAUAAAUAUCCCAAACCACAUUGAAAAGCAUUGCAUCUACAUUUAUCUACACUGUAACUGUACUGUAAAUCAUGGGGGAGGGGAGAAUCAUAAAAACACCACCUGUCACCGUGUCAUUAAAGCAAGUUGGAAGUGAUACUUACAGAAACACAGCAAGAGCACCCCCAGUCACACAGUUCAAUCUCUUAGCAAGCGUUUUCUUUCUAGCCCAGUGGUUCUCAGUUUGGAAUUUUUGGCACUGCCUAGAGAUAGUUUUGUUGUUAAAACUGAGAAAAGAGCCGGGCGUGGUGGCACACGCCUUUAAUCCCAGCACUCAGGAGGCAGAGGCAGG